rnacentral:rRNA from 1 species
AGGUCAAGACAUGGGCGUGAUUGACAGGCUAAUGACUUUUCUCGAUUCCAUGGAUGGUGGUGCAUGGUCGCACUUAGUUGGUGCAGUGAUUUGUCAGGUUUAUUCCGGUAACGAACGAGACCUCGGCCUUGUAAAUAGCUAUGCUGCUUACAGGGACAUUGGCGGCUACGCCAAGGAAGCUCGAGGCAAUUGCAGAUCUGGAAUGCCCUUAGAUGUCCUGGGUCGCACGCGUGCUACAAUGACGCCACGAACGAGCUUGCGUGAUGAAAGUUACGCAUAAUCAGCAGUCGGCGUCUUAAGGGAUAGUCUCUUGUAACUGUGGGACUCCAACUAGGAAUGUCUCGUAAGCACAAGUCAACAUCUUGUGUUGAUUACGUCCCUGCUCUUUGUACACACCGCCCGUCGCUCCUACCGAUCGAGUUUUCUGUGAAUUUGAUGGACGUAAGGAAGUCAAAUAAACCUGAGCACUAGAGAAGAGAGUCGACAGGAGACAAAAAGGG